UCGUGUUCUCUGGGAAGGUGUACUUGCAACGUAUGUGGAUCCUGGAUUUCUUCUUCUAGAUGAGCUCUAGCUGAGAGGAGAUGGCUUCUUUAGUUCCAGUGGUGGCUCGUACCUUAAUAAGUUGUGUUUAAUGAGUAAUAACCUAAGUCAAAGGUGCUCUAUCUACAGUGGGCCCAGAAGUGAUGCCAUUAGAAUGUGAAGUCCUCCAAGAAGAUGCUGUAGGAAUGGCCUUUAUCCCAGGGCCUGGAGAGCAGCCAGACACAAGGAGAGUGGCCCAGGAGGGCAGUGGCAGUCAGCUCUAUGCUGUGGCCUGUCAGCCUCGGAGCCAGAAGUUAAACACAGGCUCUCCCAUUGACAGUCAUAAUGAAAUAAGAAAAAGAAGACGGGGAAGAGGAAGUAGAAAACCACGGCAUAAAUUUACCAAGAGUAAGCUGAGUGUGUACUUCAGCAGUCGUUUGCACAGAAUCCUUAUCCUGAUUUAACAAACAGGGAAAACGGGACAAGUCUCUUGUGCUGUGUUUGUAAUAGAUAUAAGUAAAAUAUUCAAAGCUUUGCAUAUCUUUUUAUAGAUAAUAUGAAAAUAUAAAGAAGUAUGAAAAAGCUUAGCAUUUUAUCACAUAGGACAAAGUGAUUUUUUUUUUUUUAUAGAGACAGCGUUCCACCAUGUUGGUCAGGCUAGUCUCAAACUCUUGACCUCAGGUGAUCCACCCAUCUUGGCCUCCUAAAGUACUGGGAUUACAAGCAUGAGCCACCACACCUGGCCUAUGAUUUCUUUUAGGCUGGGUGUAGUGGCUCAUGCCUGUAAUCUCAGCACUUUGGGAGGUUGAGGUGGGAAGAUCACUUGAGGCCAGGAGUUCAAGACCAGCCUGACCAACAUGGCAAAACCCUGUCUCUAACAAAACUGCAAAAAUUAGCCAGGCAGUUUUUCUGGCACAUUCCUGUAAUCCCAGUGACUCAAGAGGCUGAGGCAGGAGAAUCGCUUGAUCCUUGGAGGCGGAGAUUGCAGUGUGCCAAGAUGGCACCACUGCACUCCAGCCUGAGUGACAGUGUGAGAAUCUCAAAAAAGGGGAAUUUUUUUGGUGGUUGUUCAUUUCAAUGUAAGCAUGAAUAUAUUAUGUAUGCAUUUUAUGGAAAAAUACACUAUUCUGAGGCAAAAUUGGGAGCAGCAGUCCAGUUAAGAAGGUACUGUAGGCUGGCUGCAGUGGCUCAUGCCUACAAUCCCAGCACCUUGGCAGGCCAAGGCCAGCAGAUCACCUGAGGUCAAGAGUUCAAGACCAGCCUGGCCAACAUGGUAAAACACUGUCUCUACCAAAAAUACAAAAAUUAGCCAGGUUUGGUGGCAUGCCUCUGUAAUCCCAGCUACUCAGGAGGCUGAGGUAGGAGAAUUGCUUGUACUUGGGAGGUGGAGGUUACAGUGAGCCAGCAUAGCACCACUGCACUCCAGCCUGGACAACAAAGCGAUAGUCUAUUUCAAAAAAAAGAAAGAAAAGAAGCUAAUAUUGUUAUUCUCCAGGAUAGAGACAGUGAUGGUUUUGACCAGGGUGCUAGCUGUGGAACUGGGAAGACCUUUAAUUUUUAAAGGUGGAGCUGCUUAUAGUUUGCCAAGAUAUUGGGUACACAAUGAGAAGGCCAGAGGUAAGGAUACUUCCAAAGUUUUGGCUUGAGGAAAUGGAAGAUUGGGGAUGUUUUUAACUAAUAGGGGAGAUUGGGAGAAGAGUAGUUUUGUGUUAGACAUUUGGAGUUUUAUUUACUUUGGACACAUUAAGUUUGGUAUGCUAAUCAAACCUUUGUGGUGUUUACUUACUCCAAAGUGUAAGUAAAAAGUGAGGCAUGCAAGUCUGAAGGGCAAAAGGAAGAACGUGGCUUGACAGUGUCACAGGGCUUGGCACAGAACCCCACAGUGUCAGUAGUUGCUUCCUAACCAUUUAUUGCAUGAACCAAUAUUUUGUUUGGGGAUUUUCUGAUAUGAUUGUUGUAAACUGUUAAAGCACAACCUUUUACUGUAUUUGAAUUUAUAUUAUUUAUACACACAUUUUUUUCUCUAAUCCCCUGACAGAUUAUAUACACACAUUUAAGAAGACUUUCAUGUUUCUCUUCUGUAAUUAUUCACUUACUAUUACGUGUAUUGGUUGCUUGACAGAAGGACAACAUUGUGUUAGUGAAAACCAAGAAAGAAUAUAUACAGCUUUGGAAAAAGAAGUGUAGGCAAACAUUAUGUAAUAAAAUUCUUUUUUUUUAAAAAGUAGGUUGGUAUUAUAAACAUUUAUUAAAAUAAUGCUAUGGGUUAAUAGAAACAGCAAGGAACCAAAGAAUUAAAAUGUAAGCUUUGUAAAAUCCCAACUAAAACCCAAAAGUGUCUAAUGUAUUCAUUCAUUAGCUAACUAAAAGCCC